AGAUCGAACUAUAGAGUUUGAUCCUGGCUCAGAUUGAACGCUGGCGGCAUGCCUUACACAUGCAAGUCGAACGGCAGCACGGGAGCAAUCC
rnacentral:rRNA from 1 species